AGGGUUUGAUCAUGGCUCAGAUUGAACGCUGGCGGCAGGCUUAACACAUGCAAGUCGAGCGGAGAUGAGGUGCUUGCACCUUAUCUUAGCGGCGGACGGGUGAGUAAUGCUUAGGAAUCUGCCUAUUAGUGGGGGACAACAUUCCGAAAGGAAUGCUAAUACCGCAUACGUCCUACGGGAGAAAGCAGGGGAUCUUCGGACCUUGCGCUAAUAGAUGAGCCUAAGUCGGAUUAGCUAGUUGGUGGGGUAAAGGCCUACCAAGGCGACGAUCUGUAGCGGGUCUGAGAGGAUGAUCCGCCACACUGGGACUGAGACACGGCCCAGACUCCUACGGGAGGCAGCAGUGGGGAAUAUUGGACAAUGGGGGGAACCCUGAUCCAGCCAUGCCGCGUGUGUGAAGAAGGCCUUAUGGUUGUAAAGCACUUUAAGCGAGGAGGAGGCUACUGAGAUUAAUACUCUUGGAUAGUGGACGUUACUCGCAGAAUAAGCACCGGCUAACUCUGUGCCAGCAGCCGCGGUAAUACAGAGGGUGCGAGCGUUAAUCGGAUUUACUGGGCGUAAAGCGUGCGUAGGCGGCUUUUUAAGUCGGAUGUGAAAUCCCCGAGCUUAACUUGGGAAUUGCAUUCGAUACUGGGAAGCUAGAGUAUGGGAGAGGAUGGUAGAAUUCCAGGUGUAGCGGUGAAAUGCGUAGAGAUCUGGAGGAAUACCGAUGGCGAAGGCAGCCAUCUGGCCUAAUACUGACGCUGAGGUACGAAAGCAUGGGGAGCAAACAGGAUUAGAUACCCUGGUAGUCCAUGCCGUAAACGAUGUCUACUAGCCGUUGGGGCCUUUGAGGCUUUAGUGGCGCAGCUAACGCGAUAAGUAGACCGCCUGGGGAGUACGGUCGCAAGACUAAAACUCAAAUGAAUUGACGGGGGCCCGCACAAGCGGUGGAGCAUGUGGUUUAAUUCGAUGCAACGCGAAGAACCUUACCUGGCCUUGACAUACUAGAAACUUUCCAGAGAUGGAUUGGUGCCUUCGGGAAUCUAGAUACAGGUGCUGCAUGGCUGUCGUCAGCUCGUGUCGUGAGAUGUUGGGUUAAGUCCCGCAACGAGCGCAACCCUUUUCCUUACUUGCCAGCAUUUCGGAUGGGAACUUUAAGGAUACUGCCAGUGACAAACUGGAGGAAGGCGGGGACGACGUCAAGUCAUCAUGGCCCUUACGGCCAGGGCUACACACGUGCUACAAUGGUCGGUACAAAGGGUUGCUACACAGCGAUGUGAUGCUAAUCUCAAAAAGCCGAUCGUAGUCCGGAUUGCACUCUGCAACUCGAGUGCAUGAAGCUGGAAUUACUAGUAAUCGUGGAUCAGCGUGCCACGGUGAAUGCGUUCCCGGGUCUUGUACACACCGCCCGUCACACCAUGGGAGUUGGUUCUACCUUAAGGCAAGGUUUAAUACCCUUGACCACGGUAUAGUCAGCGACUGGGGUGAAGUCAUAACAAGGUAGCCGUA
rnacentral:rRNA from 1 species